GGAUGUGAGGGCGAUCUGGCUGCGACAUCUGUCACCCAAUUGAUCGCCAGGGUUGAUUCGGCUGAUCUGGCUGGCUAGGUGGGUAUCUCCUUCCUCCCUCACCGCUCCAUGUGCGUCCCUCCCAAAGCUGCAUGCUCAGUUGAAGAGGACCACCUUCCCCGAUAGAGGAGAGGACCGUUCUUCGGUCAAGGGUAUAGGAGUAGCUGCGCUCCCCUGCUAGAACCUCCAAACAAAAAAGUUGGAGAAUGUAGCCUAUUGGCUUUUAUAUUGCUAACAACUAAGUACAGAACUUAUUACAAAUUUUCUUUUUUAU
rnacentral:snRNA from 1 species